GGGAUUGCCCUAGUAACGGCGAGUGAAGCGGCAACAGCUCAAAUUUGAAAUCUGGCUCUCUUUGGGGGUCCGAGUUGUAAUUUGUAGAGGGUGCUUCGGCGUUGGCACUGGCCUAAGUUCUUUGGAACAAGACGUCAUAGAGGGUGAGAAUCCCGUAUGCGGCUAAUUGUCUUCGCCAUGUGAAGCCCCUUCGACGAGUCGAGUUGUUUGGGAAUGCAGCUCUAAAUGGGAGGUAUAUUUCUUCUAAAGCUAAAUACCGGCCAGAGACCGAUAGCGCACAAGUAGAGUGAUCGAAAGAUGAAAAGCACUUUGGAAAGAGAGUCAAAAAGCACGUGAAAUUGUUGAAAGGGAAGCGCUUGCAACCAGACUUGCCUGCCGUUGCUCAUCUAGGCUUUUGCCUGGUGCACUCUUCGGUAGGCAGGCCAGCAUCAGUUCGGGCGGUCAGAUAAAGGCCUUGGGAAUGUAGCUCUCUCCGGAGAGUGUUAUAGCCCAGGGUGCCAUGUGGCCAGCCUGGACUGAGGUCCGCGCUUCGGCUAGGAUGCUGGCGUAAUGGUCGUAAGCGGCCCGUCUUGAAACACGGACCAAGGAGUCUAACAUCUAUGCGAGUGUUUGGGUGUCAAGCCCGGGCGCGUAAUGAAAGUGAACGGAGGUGGGAACCUUUUAGGUGCACCAUCGACCGAUCCUGAUGUCUUCGGAUGGAUUUGAGUAAGAGCAUAGCUGUUGGGACCCGAAAGAUGGUGAACUAUGCCUGAAUAGGGUGAAGCCAGAGGAAACUCUGGUGGAGGCUCGCAGCGGUUCUGACGUGCAAAUCGAUCGUCAAAUUUGGGCAUAGGGGCGAAAGACUAAUCGAACUAUAUAGUAGCUGGUUCCU
rnacentral:rRNA from 1 species